rnacentral:rRNA from 1 species
AUUGAACGCUGGCGGCAUGCUUUACACAUGCAAGUCGAACGGCAGCGCGGGCUUCGGCCUGGCGGCGAGUGGCGAACGGGUGAGUAAUGCAUCGGAACGUGCCCAGUAGUGGGGGAUAGCCCGGCGAAAGCCGGAUUAAUACCGCAUACGACCUGAGGGUGAAAGCGGGGGACCGAAAGGCCUCGCGCUAUUGGAGCGGCCGAUGUCGGAUUAGCUAGGUGGUGGGGUAAAGGCUUACCAAGGCGACGAUCCGUAGCUGGUCUGAGAGGACGACCAGCCACACUGGGACUGAGACACGGCCCAGACUCCGACGGGAGGCAGCAGUGGGGAAUUUUGGACAGUGGGGGCAACCCUGAUCCAGCCAUGCCGCGUGCGGGAAGAAGGCCUUCGGGUUGUAAACCGCUUUUGUUCGGGAAGAAAUCCUCUGGGCUAAUACCCCGGGGGGAUGACGGUACCGGAAGAAUAAGCACCGGCUAACUACGU